AUACUCGUUUUAAGAUGAAUUCUCCUAUUUAAACUAGCUUGACCUGUAUAGUUAUAGUUCAAUUGCUGUUUAAGUAGUGAAAGCCUCUGACAGAGGUUAGCAAGGAUUUCCUGCCUCUUUUUAUUUCAAUGCUUUCAAUGCUUUUAUUUCAAUGGGAAAUCUCUAUUUCGUAACUCCUUUUCUUGCUUUUUUCACUGCCCUGAGAAAUGACCACAUGGGUUUUAUCGGUGCCCUCCUCUAAGGUUCUCCAUUUGUACAGGUUUUCAGAAAAUGAAUAACUGUGUUGAACUUUGGGUAAAUUUAACACACAGGCCCCAUGUGUGCUGAAACUGGCCUUGGAGAGGGUAGGACACAGUAAGGAAUCAGUGUACAAGUGCCUGUGUAUCUUACAGUCCACAGAACAACAGACCGAAGCCAUUUAAAAAGUAGAUUCUACCUGUUUAUUUGCUAAUUUUUGGUCUUUCCUCUCUGCUGUGAGUGUGAGCCUCUUUUUCUGCUUAAGAACUUCUUUUGCUGUUUAUACCAGAGGCAUCCUGAUCUUUUUGUUGUUGGAACAGCACAUAUCUAGCAUCCUCCUUUGCAGAAAGUUUUACCACUGCAGAAUAACUUUGUACCUUACAGGGAAAGAAAAAUUAAGCAAAAUUUUGCUUUACAAUGGAUGUGUAAAUCAUCAAGGAUUAAGUGUAUUACAGUCCCUGAAGAGAAGAAACAAAGCACUGACUAAAGCUAACAGAGCUGAGGGAAGAUUAUCUGUGCUUGCAGGAGUUCGUUUGACCCCAGUGUCCCCUGACUACUCUCACUCCAAACCCUGAGUGGCAGAGCCUGCUGGGCCUCUAUGGAAUAUGAUCUUUCAGCAUGUGGCAAAUUGCAAUUCUACAGAUGGUUUUAAAGAAAAAUAAUAACAAUUAUUAUGUUUUAAUUUUUAUUCUCUCAGUAUGUAACGGACGUGGAGUUAAGUGAAGAUUGUUUUAUCAUAUGUGACCUUGAGCUAUAAUAGCAUCUUUUUCUUCAUUAAUAAUAAAGAUUUGAUUCUUUCA